UACCUGCAGCUCGAGUGGUAACCGCUAUUAUUGGGCCUAAAGCGUCCGUAGCCGGUUUGGUAAAUAUCUGGGUAAAUCGUGAGGCUUAACUUCACGAAUUUCGGAUAGACUGCCAGACUUGGGAUCGGGGGAGGUCAGAGGUACUCCAGGGGUAGCGGUGAAAUGUUGUAAUCCUUGGAGGACCACCGGUAGCGAAGGCGUCUGACUAGAACGAGUCCGACGGUGAGGGACGAAGCCCUGGGGCGCAAACCGGAUUAGAUACCCGGGUAGUCCAGGGUGUAAACUAUGUGGGCUUUGUAUUGGAGGUCCCACGAGGGCGUCCAGUGCAGAAGAGAAGUUGUUAAGCCCACCGCCUGGGAAGUACGGUCGCAAGGCUGAAACUUAAAGGAAUUGGCGGGGGAGCACAGCAACGGGAGGAGCGUGCGGUUU
rnacentral:rRNA from 1 species